rnacentral:rRNA from 1 species
UACGAAGGGGGCUAGCGUUACUCGGAUUGACUGGGCGUAAAGGGCGCGUAGGCGGCUUGUACAGUCAGACGUGAAAUUCCUGGGCUCAACCUGGGGGCUGCGUUUGAUACGUGCGGGCUUGAGUUCGGAAGAGGGUCGUGGAAUUCCCAGUGUAGAGGUGAAAUUCGUAGAUAUUGGGAAGAACACCGGUGGCGAAGGCGGCGACCUGGUCCGAUACUGACGCUGAGGAGCGAAAGCGUGGGGAGCGAACAGG